rnacentral:rRNA from 1 species
UACGGGGGGGGCAAGCGUUGUUCGGAAUUACUGGGCGUAAAGGGCUCGUAGGUGGCCAACUAAGUCGGACGUGAAAUCCCUCAGCUUAACUGGGGAACUGCGUCCGAUACUGGAUGGCUUGAGUUUGGGAGAGGGAUGCGGAAUUCCGCGUGUAGCAGUGAAAUGCGUAGAGAUGCGGAGGAACACCGAUGGCGAAGGCAGCCCCCUGGGCUAGCACUGACGCUCAGGCACGAAAGCGUGGGGAGCAAACAGG